rnacentral:rRNA from 1 species
GCAUAAGCGCACAGCUUCGCAUGAAGCAGUGUGAAAAACUCUGGUGGUAUACGAUGGAUCCGCGUCUGAUUAGCUAGUUGGCGGGGUAAAGGCCCACCAAGGCGACGAUCAGUAGCCGGCCUGAGAGGGUGAACGGCCACAUUGGGACUGAGACACGGCCCAAACUCCUACGGGAGGCAGCAGUGGGGAAUAUUGCGCAAUGGGGGAAACCCUGAUGCAGCGACGCCGCGUGAGUGAAGAAGUAUUUCGGUACGUAAAGCUCUAUCAGCAGGGAAGAAAAUGACGGUACCUGACUAAGAAGCCCCGGCUAACUACGUGCCAGCAGCCGCGGUAAUACGUAGGGGGCAAGCGUUAUCCGGAUUUACUGGGUGUAAAGGGAGCGUAGACGGCAGCGCAAGUCUGGAGUGAAAUCCCAUGGCUUAACCAUGGAACUGCUUUGGAAACUGUGCAGCUAGAGUGCUGGAGAGGCAAGCGGAAUUCCUAGUGUAGCGGUGAAAUGCGUAGAUAUUAGGAAGAACACCAGUGGCGAAGGCGGCUUGCUGGACAGUAACUGACGUUGAGGCUCGAAAGCGUGGGAGCAAACAGGAUUAGAUACCCUGGUAGUCCACGCCGUAAACGAUGAAUGCUAGGUGU